rnacentral:rRNA from 1 species
GAGUUUGAUCCUGGCUCAGAACGAACGCUGGCGGCGUGCUUAACACAUGCAAGUCGAACGUGAUCCAGAGCUUGCUCUGGUGAAAGUGGCGCACGGGUGAGUAACGCGUGGAUAACCUGCCCUGGUAUCUGGGAUAACAUCUCGAAAGGGGUGCUAAUACCGGAUAAGCCUACGGGCUYUUCGGAGUCUGCAGGAAAAGGAGGCCUCUAUUUAUAAGCUACCGUAUCAGGAUGAGUCCGCGUACCAUUAGCUAGUUGGUGGGGUAAUGGCCCACCAAGGCUACGAUGGUUAGCUGGUCUGAGAGGAUGAUCAGCCACACUGGAACUGAGACACGGUCCAGACUCCUACGGGAGGCAGCAGUGGGGAAUUUUGCGCAAUGGGGGAAACCCUGACGCAGCAACGCCGCGUGAGUGAUGAAGGCUUUCGGGUCGUAAAGCUCUGUCAGAGGGGAAGAAAUGGGUCGUGCUAAUAUCACGGCUUCUUGACGGUACCCUCAAAGGAAGCACCGGCUAACCCCGUGCCAGCAGCCGCGGUAAUACAAGGGCGAMWKSK